UUGAAAAACAAUCUAAAGAUGAAACUGAGGCAGUUGAGCAGAAUAAGCAGCACUUAGUCAAAAACAGAGCAAACGCAGAUAUCCCAGGUAAUGAAAACAGACCACGCCUUUAUCUGAAUCUCCAUCCAGGAGCGACAGAUUACAUCAAUGCUGUUUACAUACAUAGCUUUAGAACCAAGAAACGUUACCUGGAAGCACAGACUCCACUUCCAGAGACAGUUAUAGACUUUUUGACUCUUAUUGUCC